AGGACGAACGCUGGCGGCGUGCUUAACACAUGCAAGUCGAGCGGUAAGGCCUUUCGGGGUACACGAGCGGCGAACGGGUGAGUAACACGUGGGUGAUCUGCCCUGCACUCUGGGAUAAGCCUGGGAACUGGGUCUAAUACCGGAUAUGACCUGCUCUCGCAGUGGGGGUGGGUAGGAAAGAUUUAUCGGUGCAGGAUGGGCCCGCGGCCUAUCAGCUUGUUGGUGGGUAAUGGCCUACCAAGGCGACGACGGGUA
rnacentral:rRNA from 1 species